rnacentral:rRNA from 1 species
GGGUUGUGAGGUUAAGUGACUAAGCGUACACGGUGGAUGCCUAGGCAGUCAGAGGCGAUGAAGGGCGUGCUAAUCUGCGAAAAGCGUCGGUAAGGUGAUAUGAACCGUUAUAACCGGCGAUACCCGAAUGGGGAAACCCAGUGUGUUUCGACACACUAUCAUGUCAUGAAUACAUAGUGGCAUGAGGCGAACCGGGGGAACUGAAACAUCUAAGUACCCCGAGGAAAAGAAAUCAACCGAGAUUCCCCCAGUAGCGGCGAGCGAACGGGGAGAAGCCCAGAACCUGAAUCGGCUUGUGUGUUAGUGGAAGCGUCUGGAAAGUCGCGCAGCAAAGGGUGAUAGCCCCGUACACUAAAAUGCACAGGUCGUGAGUUCGAUGAGUAGGGCGGGACACGUGACAUCCUGUCUGAAUAUGGGGGGACCAUCCUCCAAGGCUAAAUACUCCUGACUGACCGAUAGUGAACCAGUACCGUGAGGGAAAGGCGAAAAGAACCCCGGCGAGGGGAGUGAAAUAGAACCUGAAACCGUGUACGUACAAGCAGUGGGAGCACCUUCGUGGUGUGACUGCGUACCUUUUGUAUAAUGGGUCAGCGACUUAUAUUUUGUAGCAAGGUUAACCGUAUAGGGGAGCCGUAGGGAAACCGAGUCUUAACUGGGCGAAUAGUUGCAAGGUAUAGACCCGAAACCCGGUGAUCUAGCCAUGGGCAGGUUGAAGGUUGGGUAACACUAACUGGAGGACCGAACCGACUAAUGUUGAAAAAUUAGCGGAUGACUUGUGGCUGGGGGUGAAAGGCCAAUCAAACCGGGAGAUAGCUGGUUCUCCCCGAAAGCUAUUUAGGUAGCGCCUCGUGAACUCAUCUUCGGGGGUAGAGCACUGUUUCGGCUAGGGGGCCAUCCCGGCUUACCAAACCGAUGCAAACUCCGAAUACCGAAGAAUGUUAUCACGGGAGACACACGGCGGGUGCUAACGUCCGUCGUGAAGAGGGAAACAACCCAGACCGCCAGCUAAGGUCCCAAAGUCAUGGUUAAGUGGGAAACGAUGUGGGAAGGCACAGACAGCCAGGAUGUUGGCUUAGAAGCAGCCAUCAUUUAAAGAAAGCGUAAUAGCUCACUGGUCGAGUCGGCCUGCGCGGAAGAUGUAACGGGGCUAAACCAUGCACCGAAGCUGCGGCAGCGACGCUUAGGCGUUGUUGGGUAGGGGAGCGUUCUGUAAGCCGUUGAAGGUGGCCUGUGAGGGUUGCUGGAGGUAUCAGAAGUGCGAAUGCUGACAUAAGUAACGAUAAAGCGGGUGAAAAGCCCGCUCGCCGGAAGACCAAGGGUUCCUGUCCAACGUUAAUCGGGGCAGGGUGAGUCGACCCCUAAGGCGAGGCUGAAAAGCGUAGUCGAUGGGAAACAGGUUAAUAUUCCUGUACUUGGUGUUACUGCGAAGGGGGGACGGAGAAGGCUAGGCUGGCCGGGCGACGGUUGUCCCGGUUUAAGCGUGUAGGGGGUGUGACCUGGUAAAUCCGGUUGCAUAUCAACCCUGAGGCGUGAUGACGAUGCACUACGGUGCAGAAGUAGUUGAUGCCCUGCUUCCAGGAAAAUCCUCUAAGCUCCAGGUAACAUUAAAUCGUACCCCAAACCGACACAGGUGGUCAGGUAGAGAAUACCAAGGCGCUUGAGAGAACUCGGGUGAAGGAACUAGGCAAAAUGGUGCCGUAACUUCGGGAGAAGGCACGCUGGCAUGUAGGUGAAGUCCCUCGCGGAUGGAGCUGAAGCCAGUCGAAGAUACCAGCUGGCUGCAACUGUUUAAUAAAAACACAGCACUGUGCAAACACGAAAGUGGACGUAUACGGUGUGACGCCUGCCCGGUGCUGGAAGGUUAAUUGAUGGGGUCAGCCGCAAGGCGAAGCUCUUGAUCGAAGCCCCAGUAAACGGCGGCCGUAACUAUAACGGUCCUAAGGUAGCGAAAUUCCUUGUCGGGUAAGUUCCGACCUGCACGAAUGGCGUAAUGAUGGCCAGGCUGUCUCCACCCGAGACUCAGUGAAAUUGAACUCGCUGUGAAGAUGCAGUGUACCCGCGGCAAGACGGAAAGACCCCGUGAACCUUUACUAUAGCUUGACACUGAACAUUGAGCCUUGAUGUGUAGGAUAGGUGGGAGGCUUUGAAGCGUGGACGCCAGUCUGCGUGGAGCCAUCCUUGAAAUACCACCCUUUAAUGUUUGAUGUUCUAACUCUGCCCCGUGAUCCGGGGUGAGGACAGUGUCUGGUGGGUAGUUUGACUGGGGCGGUCUCCUCCCAAAGAGUAACGGAGGAGCACGAAGGUUAGCUAAUCACGGUCGGACAUCGUGAGGUUAGUGCAAAGGCAUAAGCUAGCUUGACUGCGAGAGUGACGGCUCGAGCAGGUACGAAAGUAGGUCUUAGUGAUCCGGUGGUUCUGAAUGGAAGGGCCAUCGCUCAACGGAUAAAAGGUACUCCGGGGAUAACAGGCUGAUACCGCCCAAGAGUUCAUAUCGACGGCGGUGUUUGGCACCUCGAUGUCGGCUCAUCACAUCCUGGGGCUGAAGUAGGUCCCAAGGGUAUGGCUGUUCGCCAUUUAAAGUGGUACGCGAGCUGGGUUUAGAACGUCGUGAGACAGUUCGGUCCCUAUCUGCCGUGGGCGUUGGAAGAUUGAGAGGGGUUGCUCCUAGUACGAGAGGACCGGAGUGAACGCACCACUGGUGUUCGGGUUGUCAUGCCAAUGGCAUUGCCCGGUAGCUAAGUGCGGAAAAGAUAAGCGCUGAAAGCAUCUAAGCGCGAAACUUGCCUCAAGAUGAGUCUUCCCUUGGACUUUGAGUCCACUGAAGGAACGUUUAAGACUAAGACGUUGAUAGGCUGGGUGUGUAAGUGCAGCGAUGCAUUGAGCUAACCAGUACUAAUGAUCCGUGAGGCUUAACCUUACAACACCGAAGGUGUUUUAG